rnacentral:rRNA from 1 species
GUGGGGAAUAUUGGACAAUGGGCGCAAGCCUGAUCCAGCCAUGCCGCGUGAGUGAUGAAGGCCUUAGGGUUGUAAAGCUCUUUCACCGAUGAAGAUAAUGACGGUAGUCGGAGAAGAAGCCCCGGCUAACUUCGUGCCAGCAGCCGCGGUAAUACGAAGGGGGCUAGCGUUGUUCGGAUUUACUGGGCGUAAAGCGCACGUAGGCGGUUUGUUAAGUCAGGGGUGAAAUCCCGGAGCUCAACUCCGGAACUGCCUUUGAUACUGGCAAGCUAGAGUCCGGAAGAGGUAAGUGGAACUCCUAGUGUAGAGGUGGAAUUCGUAGAUAUUAGGAAGAACACCAGUGGCGAAGGCGGCUCACUGGUCUGGUACUGACGCUGAGGUGCGAAAGCGUGGGGAGCAAACAGGAUUAGAUACCCCAGUAGUCC